UACGGAGGGUGCAAGCGUUAUCCGGAAUCACUGGGUUUAAAGGGUACGUAGGCGGUUCGAUAAGUCAGACGUUAAAGGCUGUGGCUAAACCAUGGUACGCGUUUGAAACUAUCGAACUUGAAUAUGUUCGAGGUGCAUGGAAUGCUUCAUUUAGCGGUGAAAUGCAUAGAUAUGAAGUAGAACACCAAAAGCGAAGGCAGUGCACUAGGGCAGAAUUGACGAUGAGGUACGAGAGCGUGGGUAGCGAACAGG
rnacentral:rRNA from 1 species